AGGGUGCAAGCGUUGUCCGGAAUUAUUGGGCGUAAAGAGCUCGUAGGCGGUCUGUCGCGUCGGCUGUGAAAACCCGGGGCUCAACCCCGGGCCUGCAGUCGAUACGGGCAGACUAGAGUGCGGUAGGGGAGACUGGAAUUCCUGGUGUAGCGGUGAAAUGCGCAGAUAUCAGGAGGAACACCGGUGGCGAAGGCGGUUCUCUGGGCCUUACCUGACACUGAGGAGCGAAAGCGUGGGGAGCGAACAGG
rnacentral:rRNA from 1 species